rnacentral:rRNA from 1 species
CUUUUAACAACGGAUCUCUUGGCUCUCGCAUCGAUGAAGAACGCAGCGAAAUGCGAUAAGUAAUGUGAAUUGCAGAAUUCAGUGAAUCAUCGAAUCUUUGAACGCACCUUGCGCUCC